rnacentral:rRNA from 1 species
CUUGACAUACGCUGGAAUGGCGGGAGACGUCCAGCUUCGGGCCGGCGUACAGGUGCUGCAUGGCUGUCGUCAGCUCGUGCUGUGAAGUGUGGUUAAGUCCCGCAACGAGCGCAACCCUGCCAUCUGUUGCCAGCAAGUGAAGUUGGGGACUCAGGUGGAACUGCCGGUGACAAACCGGAGGAAGGUGGGGACGACGUCAAGUCAUCAUGGCCCUUAUGUCCUGGGCUACACACGUGCUACAAUGGCCGGUACAGAGCGCAGCGAAGCCGCGAGGCAAAGCGAAUCGCAAAAAGCCGGUCUCAGUACGGAUUGGAGUCUGAAACCCGACUCCAUGAAGUUGGAAUCGCUAGUAAUCGCGCAUCAGCAUGGCGCGGUGAAUACGUUCCCGGGCCUU